GAUGGACGCUGGCGGCGUGCCUAAUACAUGCAAGUCGAGCGAACAGACGAGGAGCUUGCUCCUCUGACGUUAGCGGCGGACGGGUGAGUAACACGUGGAUAACCUACCUAUAAGACUGGGAUAACUUCGGGAAACCGGAGCUAAUACCGGAUAAUAUAUUGAACCGCAUGGUUCAAUAGUGAAAGACGGUUUUGCUGUCACUUAUAGAUGGAUCCGCGCCGCAUUAGCUAGUUGGUAAGGUAACGGCUUACCAAGGCAACGAUGCGUAGCCGACCUGAGAUGGUGAUCGGCCACACUGGAACUGAGACACGGUCCAGACUCCUACGGGAGGCAGCAGUAGGGAAUCUUCCGCAAUGGGCGAAAGCCUGACGGAGCAACGCCGCGUGAGUGAUGAAGGUCUUCGGAUCGUAAAACUCUGUUAUUAGGGAAGAACAAAUGUGUAAGUAACUAUGCACGUCUUGACGGUACCUAAUCAGAAAGCCACGGCUAACUACGUG
rnacentral:rRNA from 1 species